CAACCUGAAAUGUAAAUGUGAACCUGGCCAAUAUGGAACUUGCGCUAAGGAAAUAACUGAAUGUCCCUCAAAGUACGAUUGUUGUUCAGUAACAUCACAACUCUAUUAUUUAGGUGGUGCAAAGUCUAAGCGGAACUCCAAAGAUUGCAUUAUGUCUGAACUGUGUGUUAAUUACUCUAUCAGCUAUGGAGCUUACAGAAUUGUACAAAACACCAAGUGCUGCAGUGAAGAUCUCUGCAACGCCCAGAUUAACUACACAAAACUUGUCUCCACUCCAAAUAGAAAAAAGUGCUUCAGCUGUGAUGAAGAAAACUGCAUGAAAACCCUUAAAUGUGCACGGGAUGAAAACUACUGCGUUGAUGUAAAAGGAUAUACACAAGGAGAACGUUUCAUGAUGAAGGGAUGUGCCUCUAAGUCGGUGUGCUCAGAUAAUUUUUCUUUAGUGAUGAGUCAGUUAACUUCACGGCCCCCUGUAGCAAAGAUUAGCUGCUGCCGGGGCAACUACUGCAACAGCGCUAGCAGCACCAUCAGCCCAGGAAGCAAAAGCAGCGCCAGCAGCACCAGUCCCACCCUGCUGCUCCUGUUGGUGCCUCUGUUGUUUUCUAACUUAUUUUCUUAGCUCACAGAAGCUACUGAAUUGCUGCCAUGUUUUCUUUUUAAUCACAAUUCAUUUUAUAAACCUGUUCUUUUUAAUUGAUUCUAUAGCUUGGUUAGCUAAGCAGCAUGUUAUAAUCAACAACAUCCUCUAUACUUUGUUGUUCUAUACUAAAAUAAUCUUCCUCAAUAAACACAAUUUUUUUUAAUUCUGGGUCCA